UACAGAGGGUGCAAGCGUUGUUCGGAAUCAUUGGGCGUAAAGGGCGUGUAGGCGGUUUGUUAAGUCAUGUGUGAAAUCCCUCGGCUUAACCGGGGAACUGCAUCUGAUACUGGAUGGCUUGAGUUCGGGAGAGGGAUGCGGAAUUCCAGGUGUAGCGGUGAAAUGCGUAGAUAUCUGGAGGAACACCGGUGGCGAAGGCGGCAUCCUGGACCGACACUGACGCUGAGGAGCGAAAGCCAGGGGAGCAAACGG
rnacentral:rRNA from 1 species